rnacentral:misc_RNA from 1 species
UUGAUUGAUUAUUCGUAAGCUCAGACAACACCGAUAAAACAGAUUUUGAUAGGUCUCUGGCGGGCGCUCGGAAGCCCCAGGAAAGGGACCCACGCCGGGGCCAAGCCCCAGGGCCCGCCAAAGCAACAGUGGAAGAUACACAAAGGGUGGAAAGGUCCGGGGCAGAACCCCUGGGGCGCGACAGCCCCCCUCUCAAUAAUGAUCCUUCCGCAGGUUCACCUACGGAAA